GCCUUCGUAGCUCAGGUGGUAGAGCAUCGGAUGCGACAUCCGAAGGUCGUGGGUUCGGUUCCCACCGAAGGCA
rnacentral:tRNA from 1 species